GCUGUUUAUCCUCCAUUUACAGCCCACAAACUGAAGUGUCUUGAAUAAUUUGUAAAAUUCCUUUUUGACUGUUGGGUCAAGACAAAACAUUUUUUUGUGUUGUUUUGUUUUUUUACUUUAAGUAUGUGUCGCUCUGUUUCUCAUGAGGUGUGUGGAUAAAGUAAUUUUUUUCAGUUACUUUUAUAUCCUCAGCAGGUGGUAAAAUGAGCAAUCCCUUGCACAGAAAAAUAUGAAUCAACCAGCUAAAUAUAAGAAGGAAUGUUUUAGCCACCUGAUGAUUUUUGGAUGAGAAAUGUGCAUUAAAGGAAAGAUUAAAACGGCUCUAGAAACAGUGACGAUUUCGUUCUGUGGUAAAUAAAAUUGCCAAUUUUCUAAUUGCAAAAAAUUCUACUUCCAUCUGUAGAAAUAUGAACAGAAAGAUUUUCUUUUCUAAAUAGCUCCAAGAGUAUUGCAUCCCAAGAAAGAUAAAGCUGGACCUGAAACUGGAAAACCUUUGGUCUCAUCUGAUGUGCAUGAAGGAGAGAGGGACAAUUAAGAACUACCGAACAACGCCACUUCUUGUACAUAAACUUUUGCCUGGGACAACAAGCCUUACUGAAGAUCCUCCUCCUGUAGAGAAAAGAUGGAAGCUGACCUCUGCAAGAACAAGGAGAAAGUGGUAGGAGGCAGUUAACACAGAACAGAAAUGAAGGGAAGGAAAACAGAAGAGGAGAUGGUGUAUUUCAUUUCUUGCUAUUGCUAAUUGGGAAAUCAGGUUUGUUCCUAUUUCUGUCACUAAACUAAAGCACGACUUUGGGGAAAUCAACUGUUUUGGGAUCCGAUUUGCCAGUGUCUCUGUCUUGAGAAUCAUUUGUCCCUAGAUACAGAGUGGAUGUAAAAAUUCAUUACCACCAUUUGUAAGUGGUUUAAACUAGAGUCUCUCUAUGGCUGGCCUUGUGGAUUGAGAUGAAACUCUUUUAGGUUCUGAUUCAGCAAGGUCCUGAAUCACAUUGCUAUCUUUAAACAAGAAUUGGCUUCAGUGGGACUACUUGUCAAAAAUUAGAAGCAUGCCUAAACAAAUUUU
rnacentral:lncRNA from 1 species